AUUGAACGCUGGCGGCAUGCCUUACACAUGCAAGUCGAACGGCAGCGGACCUUCGGGUGCCGGCGAGUGGCGAACGGGUGAGUAAUAUAUCGGAACGUACCUUUCAGUGGGGGAUAACGUAGCGAAAGUUACGCUAAUACCGCAUAUUCUGUGAGCAGGAAAGCCAGGGGAUCGCAAGACCUUGCGCUGAUUGAGCGGCCGAUAUCAGAUUAGCUAGUUGGUGAGGUAAAGGCUCACCAAGGCGACGAUCUGUANCGGGUCUGAGAGGAUGAUCCGCCACACUGGAACUGAGACACGGUCCAGACUCCUACGGGAGGCAGCAGUGGGGAAUUUUGGACAAUGGGCGCAAGCCUGAUCCAGCCAUGCCGCGUGAGUGAAGAAGGCCUUCGGGUUGUAAAGCUCUUUCGGCCGGGAAGAAAUCGCACAGGUUAAUACCCUGUGUGGAUGACGGUACCGGAAUAAGAAGCACCGGCUAACUACGUG
rnacentral:rRNA from 1 species